rnacentral:rRNA from 1 species
AAUAGAUACCCCGGGUAGUCCACGCCGUAAACGAUGAGUGCUAAGUGUUAGAGGGGUUUUCCGCCCCUUUAGUGCUGCAGCUAACGCAUUAAGCACUCCGCCUGGGGAGUACGGCCGCAAGGCUGAAACUCAAAGGAAUUGACGGGGGCCCGCACAAGCGGUGGAGCAUGUGGUUUAAUUCGAAGCAACGCGAAGAACCUUACCAGGUCUUGACAUCCUCUGCCAACCCUAGAGAUAGGACGUUCCCCUUCGGGGGACAGAGUGACAGGUGGUGCAUGGUUGUCGUCAGCUCGUGUCGUGAGAUGUUGGGUUAAGUCCCGCAACGAGCGCAACCCUUGAUCUUAGUUGCCAGCAUUCAGUUGGGCACUCUAAGGUGACUGCCGGUGACAAACCGGAGGAAGGUGGGGAUGACGUCAAAUCAUCAUGCCCCUUAUGACCUGGGCUACACACGUGCUACAAUGGAUGGUACAAAGAGCUGCGAACCCGCGAGGGUAAGCGAAUCUCAAUAAAGCCAUUCUCGAGUUCGGA